GUUGGGUAGGGGAGCGUUCUGUAAGCCUGUGAAGGUGUGCUGUGAGGCAUGCUGGAGGUAUCAGAAGUGCGAAUGCUGACAUAAGUAACGAUAAUGCGGGUGAAAAACCCGCACGCCGGAAGACCAAGGGUUCCUGUCCAACGUUAAUCGGGGCAGGGUGAGUCGACCCCUAAGGCGAGGCAGAAAUGCGUAGUCGAUGGGAAACGGGUUAAUAUUCCCGUACUGGUGAUAAUUGCGAUGGGGGGACGGAGAAGGCUAGGCUAUCCGGGCGACGGUUGUCCCGGUUUAAGGAUGUAGGCAGGUGAAUUAGGCAAAUCCGGUUCACUAUAUGCUGAGGUCCGACGACGAGUCACUACGGUGAUGAAGUAGCUCAUGCCCCGCUUCCAGGAAAAGCCUCUAAGCUCUAGAUUAUCAUUAAUCGUACCCCAAACCGACACAGGUGGUCAGGUAGAGAAUACUCAGGCGCUUGAGAGAACUCGGGUGAAGGAACUAGGCAAAAUGGUGCCGUAACUUCGGGAGAAGGCACGCUGGCAUUAGGUGAAGUGAUUUACUCAUGGAGCUGAAGCCAGUCGCAGAUACCAGCUGGCUGCAACUGUUUAUUAAAAACACAGCACUGUGCAAACACGAAAGUGGACGUAUACGGUGUGACGCCUGCCCGGUGCUGGAAGGUUAAUUGAUGGGGUUAUCCGUAAGGAGAAGCUCUUGAUCGAAGCCCCAGUAAACGGCGGCCGUAACUAUAACGGUCCUAAGGUAGCGAAAUUCCUUGUCGGGUAAGUUCCGACCUGCACGAAUGGCGUAAUGAUGGCCAGGCUGUCUCCACCCGAGACUCAGUGAAAUUGAACUCGCUGUGAAGAUGCAGUGUACCCGCGGCAAGACGGAAAGACCCCGUGAACCUUUACUAUAGCUUGACACUGAACAUUGAGCCUUGAUGUGUAGGAUAGGUGGGAGGCUUCGAAGCGUGGACGCCAGUCUGCGUGGAGCCAACCUUGAAAUACCACCCUUUAAUGUUUGAUGUUCUAACGUUGCCCCAUUAUCUGGGGUGCGGACAGUGUCUGGUGGGUAGUUUGACUGGGGCGGUCUCCUCCCAAAGAGUAACGGAGGAGCACGAAGGUUGGCUAAGCAUGGUCGGACAUCAUGCGGUUAGUGCAAAGGCAUAAGCCAGCUUGACUGCGAGAGUGACGGCUCGAGCAGGUACGAAAGUAGGUCUUAGUGAUCCGGUGGUUCUGAAUGGAAGGGCCAUCGCUCAACGGAUAAAAGGUACUCCGGGGAUAACAGGCUGAUACCGCCCAAGAGUUCAUAUCGACGGCGGUGUUUGGCACCUCGAUGUCGGCUCAUCACAUCCUGGGGCUGAAGUAGGUCCCAAGGGUACGGCUGUUCGCCGUUUAAAGUGGUACGCGAGCUGGGUUUAGAACGUCGUGAGACAGUUCGGUCCCUAUCUGCCGUGGGCGUUGGAAGAUUGAAAGGGGCUGCUCCUAGUACGAGAGGACCGGAGUGGACGCACCACUGGUGUUCGGGUUGUCAUGCCAAUGGCAUUGCCCGGUAGCUAAGUGCGGAAGAGAUAACCGCUGAAAGCAUCUAAGCGGGAAACUUGCCUUGAGAUGAGUCUUCCCUGACCCUUAAAGGGUCCUAAAGGAACGUUUAAGACUAAGACGUUGAUAGGUUGGGUGUGUAAGCGUAGCGAUACGUUGAGCUAACCAAUACUAAUGAACCGUGAGGCUUAACCUG
rnacentral:rRNA from 1 species